rnacentral:lncRNA from 1 species
CGUCAACAUAAAGUAGGAAAAUAAUGUAGCUGGACUCCAGCCUCUUAAAAUAGCAACAAUGGUCAGCAUUGCACUUGUAGUAGCCAUUUUUCUGCAUAAAUCCGUCAAACUUCUUGUACCACUGUCUCGGAGCUUGUUUUAAGCCAUACAAGCUUUUCUUCAAUUUGCACACGAGCUUUUCUUUUUCUUUGAUUGAGAAACCCUUUGGUUGCUGCAUAUAUAUCUCCUCCUCUAGGUCACCAUGGAGAAAGGCAGUUUUCACAUCUAACUGCUCUAAGUGCAACCCCUCUGCUGCAACAAUACUUAAGACUGAUCGAAUUGUUGUCAGCUUUACUACUGGAGAAUAAAUCUCUGUGUAGUCAAUUCCUUCUUUCUGUUGAAAGCCUUUGACCACCAAUCUCGCCUUGUAUCUCUUUGAUCCGUCAUGUUCCUCCUUGACUCGAUAGACCCAUUUAUUGUGUAGGGCUUUCUUUUCUGCAGGCAACUCAACUAGCUCCCACGUUUGAUUAGAGAUAAGAGACUUUAUCUCAUCUUUCAUUGCAAGCUCCCACUUAAUUGCAUCCUCUCCCUGACAUGCCUCAUCAUAGCAUUCAGGUUCACCGGCAUCAGUAAGUAACAAAUAAUUUAUGUACUUUUUGUUUGGAACAUGUGGUUGGGAAGAUCUUCUAGGAAUAGGAGUUGGAGGUAGAGUCUCCGCAACAGCUUCCUCUGGCUGAGGACUUUCAUCUGUCUACUUUGACAUACUACUACUUGAAGUAUCAUCCAACUCAACAUAUGUUGGAUUAUCAUGUAUGUCACUGGACUGCGCUGUAUCUCUAUCCUUAUACAUCACCCUUUCAUUGAUUAGAGAUAAGAGACUUUAUCUCAUCUUUCAUUGCAAGCUCCCACUUAAUUGCAUCCUCUCCCUGACAUGCCUCAUCAUAGCAUUCAGGUUCACCGGCAUCAGUAAGUAACAAAUAAUUUAUGUACUUUCUGUUUGGAACAUGUGG